GGAAACUUGAAAACUACCGUUGGAUCGGGAAAUGGACAUCCGAGAUUCAUCCACGUUACCAUGAGUUAAAAUUUUACUGGGAGUUACCAUGAGUUAAAAUUUAACUCCCAGUAACUCCCAGUAAAAUUUUAACUCAUGAGUGAAUCUGCGAGUUAAAUUUUAACUCAUGGUGACGUGGACGAAUCUCGAGCGUCCAUUUCACGAUCUAACGGUAGUUUCCAAGUUUCC
rnacentral:pre_miRNA from 1 species